AUCUAGUCAUAUUGAAGGACCCCCGGAGGGAGACCCUUACUUAAGCCUCGGGAAGGCGCACACCCAGUGAGACGCUGAGACCA
rnacentral:pre_miRNA from 7 species